rnacentral:sRNA from 1 species
AAGAAUUCCCUGCUGUUCUAUACCUCAGUGGACGUCCGUGAAUUGAAUUGGAGGACGAGUAAGUCGUGAAUUAAAUUAUACUCGCCAGAAGAUUGGAGAAGAGGCUAUGUUUAAUCCUCAACUCAUGAUACAGACCCCUAAAGAAGAAGGUGCUAACAUCCUGACCACAGAAGCCCUCCUACAACACCUGGACUCGGCACUCCAGGCCAGCCGUGUCCACGUAUACAUGUACAACAGGCAGUGGAAAUUGGAACAUUUGUGUUACAAAUCAGGAGAGCUUAUCACAGAAACAGGUUACAUGGAUCAGAUAAUAGAAUAUCUUUACCCUUGUUUGAUUAUUACACCUUUGGACUGCUUCUGGGAAGGGGCGAAAUUACAGUCUGGGACAGCAUACCUCCUAGGUAAACCUCCUUUGCGGUGGACAAACUUCGACCCUUUGGAAUUCCUAGAAGAGUUAAAGAAAAUAAACUAUCAAGUGGACAGCUGGGAGGAAAUGCUGAAUAAGGCUGAGGUUGGUCAUGGUUACAUGGACCGCCCCUGCCUCAAUC